CUAAACCCAAAGAGACCCUAAACCCUAAGAACCCCUUAAUCAUGAAAAAUCAUAAAAAUCCUAAAAAAACCUUUUAAAACUCUAAACCUAAAUAAAUUUUAGAAAAACUUAAUCCCUAAACCUUAAACGCUAAAACCCUUAAAUAAAAAAUAUAAACCUAACACACUAAACCCUAAGAAAGCUUAAAUGCUAAACUAUAUUACCUUAAGAAACCCUAAACGUUAGUGCUAAACCCUAGGAAACCCUA
rnacentral:lncRNA from 1 species